CUCUCCUGGUGCUCUGUUAAGAAAAUAGCACAGAUUUGAAGCCAAAUGCUUAAUACUUACAGAAGAAAAGAAAGCUCAGACUUAGUCCAUGCAUAAUAGAAGACUAAAACUUAGAGCUAACCGGUAGUGCUUUAAUAACAGGCACUGUUAGCACUUAAAUUCCACUAUCUUCGUUCAUGUUGAAGAGCUGUAAAGUGGUAGGUGCUAACCUGAUACCGCCUGGUAGAAAGGGUAAGCAACUUACUCAAGGUGUUUUAGCAUUGAGAACUAGGGUUAAACUUGGAUUAGAAUCCCCAUAUUUCUGACUAUUGUGGCUACUAGUUAUAAUUAUUCUGUUAAAAUAAUUGUUUGAUGCAAUUUACUGAUAAUUCAGAGAAAUAACCAUUCAAAACUUGAAUUAUCUCUUCUAAGAUGUUAUUGAAUCAAUAAUUACUUUGAUAUAUAAUAGAUACAACUUCAUUUUUGCUUUGAAAAUCUGAAAAAACUAUAAUAUUUAAUUUAUCUUGAAGGGAAACUUAGUCUUUUUCAAACAAUUUUGAACUAUUAAUUCCAGUUCAAGUGAAAUAAACCAAAAUUUUAGAGGUCAAAAUAACUUAUUUCUAUAUCCCGGUUGUGCAGAGAAUAUCAUGGAGAGACAUUCAAAUUACAGCUAUGCCCUUCAGUCCUUGAAUAGAGGUAAGCCUAUUGAUCUAUCAAUUCUAAAAAAGCAGUUGUAACAUAUUAUAACUUAAGGUCAGGAAGGCAAAUAAAUUACCUAAAUAAUCCUUUCUAGUUCCUAAUAGGUGGCUCUAUAUCUUCUGUUUGAUGAUUUCCAGUGAGAAAACUCUAACUGAUCCACUGUAAAAAUCUAUUUCAUUGUUCAACAGAUAAUUACAAUUGUCAUCUUUGUUAAAAAUUGAUUUUCUCUAAGGUACUUACCUGUAUGCAUUAUUUAAUAGUAACCAUGAACUGAUCAUUUAGUAAAUGCCAAGCAUUAUUUUGGGGAUCUUAGCAAAGAGCUAAACAAAUACUUUACCAAUAUUAUAUUUUAUCAUUUAUCACAAAAUAACUGUGCAUCAAGGUACUAUAUUUAAUACAUUUUUAUCUCCCUUUACAAGUAAGGAGAGAGUGUUAGAAGUUUUCCCAAAGCCAUAAUGUUUUUAUAAGAUAUAGGUUUAGAUAAAUCAAGUGCUAACAGUAUCUUUGAGAAAUGUGGCCAGUGUGUUUUAAAAAUAUAAUGGAACCCAUACCAUACUAUCUAUAGGAAAUGCCUUAGGCCCUUCUGAUCUUACUAAGAGGACAAGUGUUUAAUAUCUUAUUAUUCUUUUUUAAAUUUUUUUAGUUAUACAUGGGAACGAUAUCUAUAUUUUAGUUAUUUAUUAUUUUAUGUGGUGCUGGGGAUUGAACCCAGUGCCUCACACAUGCAAGGCAAGUGCUGUACCCGCAAGCUAUAAUUCCAGCCCCUAUCUUAUUAUUCUUACCAUAGAAAUUGUGCACAAAGACUUAAAAACUACAGUGUGUGAUUUUUUUAAAAAAAAUUUUUCCAAAGAGUCAGAGAGUAUUUUCUGAAUUUAUGAGAUAGAUUUUGCAUUUGUAUUUAUUUGUAUUGUAUUGUAUUAUUUUUACUAUUUACCCUUUUGGAGGAAAACCUAGAAAACUAAAUUAACUUCAAAGUAAAAUAUUUUCAAAGAAAAAUAUCAGGUUUUAAUAUCCCACUCCUCAAAGUCCUAUGGAUAGCACAGUAAAUCCAACAAAGAAACAUUAUCAUAUAGGUGGAUCCUUAAAAAUGUAACAGAUUUUGAUGAAGCAUUUUAAACAGAUGGUUUUAGAGGAAGUAGAGGUUGUGAUAUUACAAAUCUCAGAAAACUUGAGUGACAGUGCCAGAGGGGGUACUGCUGACUUCAAUGUUGUCAUUGUAAAAUUUUCAUUCUGAUUCCUGCUUUGAUCUCAUUAAAUAAUAACUCUGAAAACAAAACAAUAAAAUGACUAAAAGCCAAAUUCAGAAAAUGUGAAUUACAAAUGCAAGUACUGUGGCUCUGUUCAUGCUACCUUAAUAAAGUCACUUACAUCUUAGUGGCAUCCUCAAAGGUAGUCCUUGCCCACAGGGAUUCUUUCCCUUGUGCCAUCCCCUCCCUUUGAGGGCUGGAUCUGGUAAAUUACUUUAGUGAGGAAUUGGGAAAAGGAACAGGAUAUCAUUCAUAGAAUUAUGUUCCAGAAAGCCAAUGAUUUCCCCAACCUUCUCAUCCAGAUGUCAUGUGAACUGCCCCAAAGAGGAGCCCAUGUAUCAAGAAACUUAUAACCUUAUAACCCCAGCAAACAGAAGAAAAAAAGAAAGCCUAAGAUACAACAACAGCAAAGAGGGUACAAAGUGAGUGAGUUUGGAAGCAGAUACUCCCCAAGUCAACCUCAUAUGGGAAGAUCUUGGAUAGACAAUCUGUACUCCACAACCUGUUCUUUACAGAGUCAGCCUCAGCAAACACCUUCCUCACAGAAUGGCCUGGAGAUACAAGUGUCAACAUCCCUCAUUUAAUAACCUAAAGCAUAAUUAAUGAACUCUUUGCUAUCCUUUGGAAGUUAUAAGCUAGGUGAUUUUAUAGCACCCACUGUCAAUUUUUUUCCAAUAGAAUACAGCAACCAGAAUCAAUACAUUAACUUUAUAAUUUUCAAUAUUAUUCAACAAAACAUGCAAGCAAGCUACUCUUCUGUACCUCUUUAUUGGGACAAUUUUUGUAAUUCCAGCUCCCUUGCACUUUUAACUAGGUUUGUAAUCCCCACAGACAUAGCCAACAGUGAAUUUUAAUAACUAUUCAAUGUGUUGUAUUUGGCGAAUAAAGGAAGGAAAAAAUAUCUAUUUCCUUGUAGAAAAGAAAAUGCUCAAAUAAGAACACUUGAGGUCAUGUUUCUUGAUUAUUGUGUAGUGUUUAUAAAUCCCUGAAGCUGCAUCUAUGUUUUGGGGAAAAAAUUGCUUGUGGCAAUUUCUAUGCAAGGUGAAAUUACUACUAGGAAAAAACUGUCAAAAUUAUUAAAAUUGAAUAUUCAGCAUACUUUUUUUCAAUGUUCAAUGUUAUUUAAAAGUGUAUAGAAACUGAGCUCAUCUCUAAGGGAUGUCAGAUGAAAAGAAUUUAAAUUCUUCCAAAUUUGUGAACAUAUCUGACUUUGACUAGAACUAGAACUGUUGCUCAGUGUAAGUAUCUCAGGGGGUGCAAACUGGGUUUCUUUGGUAUAAUUGUCAAUCAUUUCACAGAAUUUACAUACAACUCUGUAAUAAUCUACCAAGGAAAAGAGGUUGCUUAUUUUUUCUCUUUGGAGAGGUUAAAGAGGUGAUUCUUAUUUCACUAUUCAUCAAAAUUAGUUUAUCCUCAGAAAGAGAUGAGAUGUGGUUAGGUUGCCAAGGGUCAAAGAUUUUCUAGUGGAAAGAAAAUUUCAUGCUGAACAUGAAAUCCUUUUUCGUACAUUUUCACCACUGAAACCCAGCUAACCUCUUACUCCAGGGUCAGAGGAAGCAGUAUUGCCUUUCUUUUUAAAAUCCAGCCCUCACACAUGUAUUCAUGAUCUUGUCUCUCUCACCAAUUAAUCAGAGUUUCUUCACUCUUCAAAAAUCCAUCUUUUUCUCUCAGAAAGAUAUGAAAUUUUAUACAUUAAAAAAUUAAACUCAAAUAUCAUCAAAGCAAUUAUAAUGACAACACAAAUUCUGGUGAUAUCACAAAAUGUAUUAAAUUAUAAACUACUAACCCAUCUUCUAAGACUCAAAAUUAUCUCUUGUUUGCCUCAUAUGAUUUUGAAGUUCUUAGCUCUCUACCAAGUCCCUCUCUCACCUACUGAUCUCUCUAGUUUCUCUAACAUCUCCACAAAGAUCUUCUACACAUUGCUUUUCUCAGAGUCAACUAACUACCGGCCCUCUUUUUUGCCUUCUCAAAAGAACAGCCAGCUACAGAUGCCCAUGCCUAAUCUCUGGAACUAGUGAACACACUAAGUUACAUGGCAAAGCAGAACUAAGGUGGCAGAAUCAAAGCUUCCAAUCAGCUAGACCUUAAAGAACUUGUUCUGGAUUAUCCAAGGGGGCCCACUGGAAAUACUAGGGUCAUUAAUAGUGCUAGAAAGAAUCAGAAGACAGAACUAUUUUUCAAAAAUAAAGAUGAAAUAAAGAUAUUCUAAAAUCAUCAGAGAAAUAUGAAUCAAAACCAUAAAAUACUAUGUCACCAUUAAAAUGAUUAUAUAAAAUGAUUAUAUAAUCAUUUAUUAAUGAUUAAUAAAGAUGAAAUAAAGAUAUUCUAAAAUCAUCAGAGAAAUAUGAAUCAAAACCAUAAAAUACUAUGUCACCAUGAAAAUGAUUAUAUAUGUAUAUCAUAAUAAGUGUUGAUCAGGAUGUGGAGAAAUUAAAAUGGGGACCUUCAUACAUUGCUAGUGGGAAUGUCAACGAAGCUCUCCUGCCUUUGACAACCAAAGCACUAAAUAAAACACAUGGACAAACAUUGUUAGAUAUUAUAUAAACAUCACUCUAGGACAAGGAUUCCUCAAAACAUUAGAAACAAAGAGAAACUAAACCUUAUAAAAACUUGAUAGCUGAAUAUUUCCAUUUAUCCCUCUUGACCUUUGACUCUUUGGCAUGUGUUUUUCUUUAAUAUCUAUUAUCAAAUUCAAAAUACUGUUACUAUUUUUGCUUACAUACUUAAUUAUCUGUUUAAGACAUCAAAAAUAAAAAAAAAACUUCUCUAAUUACCCAUAUAAAUCUUAUUUAUGUCUUCAAAGAGUACUGAAAAGAACAGGUGCAUUGAAAGAAAGAUCUGUGGAAAAAAAACAGAAGAGUGGAUCUGGGCAUCCAGCAACCUUCAACCCUCCCUCAUCCCAGAAAAGAAGCAGUGAAAGAAUAAACAAGGAGAGAAAUGAACUACAGUGGAUGGGGUAGAGAGAGAAGAUGGGAGGGGAGGGAGGGGGGAUGGUAGAGGAUAGGAAAGGUAGCAGAAUACAACAGUUACUAAUAGGGCAUUAUGUAAAAAUGUGGAUGUGUAACGGAUGUGAUUCUGCAAUCUGUAUUUGGGGUAAAAUUGGGAGUUCAUAACCAACUUGAAUCUAUUGUAUGAAGUAUGAUAUGU
rnacentral:lncRNA from 1 species